CGCGGCCUAUCAGCUUGUUGGUGAGGUAACGGCUCACCAAGGCAUCGACGGGUAGCUGGUCUGAGAGGACGAUCAGCCACACUGGGACUGAGACACGGCCCAGACUCCUACAGGAGGCAGCAGUAGGGAAUCUUGCGCAAUGGGCGAAAGCCUGACGCAGCAACGCCGCGUGGGGGAUGAAUGCCUUCGGGUUGUAAACCCCUUUCAGCAGGGACGAAAAUGACGGUACCUGCAGAAGAAGCUCCGGCCAACUACGUGCCAGCAGCCGCGGUAAUACGUAGGGAGCGAGCGUUGUCCGGAAUUAUUGGGCGUAAAGAGCUCGUAGGCGGUUCAGUAAGUCGGGUGUGAAAACUCAAGGCUCAACCUUGAGACGCCACUCGAUACUGCUGUGACUUGAGUCCGGUAGAGGAGUGUGGAAUUCCUGGUGUAGCGGUGAAAUGCGCAGAUAUCAGGAGGAACACCAGCGGCGAAGGCGGCACUCUGGGCCGGUACUGACGCUGAGGAGCGAAAGCAUGGGGAGCAAACAGGAUUAGAUACCCUGGUAGUCCAUGCCGUAAACGUUGGGCACUAGGUAUGGGAUCAUAUCAACGGAUUCCGUGCCGUAGCUAACGCAUUAAGUGCCCCGCCUGGGGAGUACGG
rnacentral:rRNA from 1 species